rnacentral:lncRNA from 1 species
AGUCAAUAACCUAUUUAAAAAAAAGGAAAAAAAAAGGGAUGGUUGCUCUUUAAGUUUACUAACGUGGUUCACUAGGUCAACAGUUAAUGUGCUUAAAAAAUAUAUAAAAAAAUAUCAUAAAUAAAGUUAGUUGCAAAACACUGUCAUAAUUAUAUAAUUUACAGCAUAUUAUUUAAAUAUGACAUGAUUUCCCAUACUACGAUAAAUGCUAGCUAACUUUUGCUUUGCGUUUUAAUGUUCUGAUCUAUAUAGCAAUGGCAUACACAAUGUCCUCUCAAUCAAAUAUGGACAAAGUGCAAAUAUGAGUAACCACUAUCCUCCCAUUGAAAUAAAUAUGUCAUUUUCUGCAUAUUGUUUUGCGGAACACAGACGUUCUAGAACACUUUUCAGCCCUCUGUAUUAAACAACUGUCUCUGUGUUACAAUGCUGCAUGUUCCAUGUUAUCUGACAGAAUGCACAACAAAAACUGACUUGCCCAGUACUGACUUGCAUUGUUCACGAGCCUCACAUCUAGAGUCCAAGUCAAGUCUCAAGUCAAUUGGUCACGAGUCUAAGUCAAGUCGCAAGUCAUUUAAUUUGCGACUUAAGUGCGACUUGAGUCGAGUCUCAGACUCAAGUUUCCAUCUCUGUGUCAUGUCAGUCAGACAUUUAUGGGGGGUGAUAAGAGACUUAAUUAACCCUAGGCAACCAAAAUCUUCUUUACACUCUCUUUGGAUAAUUCAUUCCAAUCAUUUUAAAGUUAACAGCAGGUAUUUUGCAUGUAAGUUUAAGUAUUUUGAUAUCUUCACAAAUCUACAAAACAGCCGUUUUACAUCCUGGCACAAAAUGUAUUUGGGAAAAUCUACAGAUAUAAUUUCUUCUUUUUUUUUACCUGAAAAUCAAACAGAGCAGUACUUCCAACGUCGGCAUUAAUUAAGCCUAGGCAACCGUAAAACCGUGUGCCUGCCUUACUAACGUCUGUGUGACGCCUGCGUGUAAUGUUAACUAACAUGUCGUCAUACCAACUCCUUACUAACGUCUGCAUUUUAAUGAAUCUCAACCAUAAUGUUAGAAACCCACCGUUUUUCCAGUGCAAGCCGACAUUCCGAAGUAGCCUCCGAGUGUAGCCUACGUCUUGUGUAUUUCCUGUUAUUGCUAAUUGCCUAGAAAAUAUUAUGUCCAAUCUAUAGGUAAUCUGUCUUUCCCUCAACACCUCAUGGCAUUGUAUGUUAUCUUAUCUCACUAUAUACAGAUCGAAAUGUUGUUAGCUAAUCUCAAACUGUGUUGUUACCAGUUCCCAAUAGCCUACAUCAGACAACCAAUAAGAGUUGUGUGCGUGGCUUUCAGUCGAAUAGAGGAGUUCAUAGGCCUUCCCAGAGGGUCUGUGCUAUUUGGGGUCCUUGGGAUGUCCCUACCUCUAUCAAGUACAAAUGUAAAAUGGUUAAGUUUAGUGUUAGUUUAGAGGUUUAGGGUUCAGGGUAAGGACGUCUCAAGGAAUCCGGAUAGCAGUGACCGGUCAUAGAGUGAGAGACAGGCACGGUAUUUGAGAGCUCGGCGGCAACACAGACGUUCAUUUGAAAAAUUAUUUUUUUACAAGCAGCAGAUAGUUUCCUUAGAGACGAUGAAAAGAAUUACCAAGAUGUCCUUGAUCCAAUUGAGAACCGUUCCCAGGCUGUUGUUUCUCUCCCUAACUUAGGGAGGCCUCUUCUCCUGUUCCUUUCCCAAGGUCGUCUUAUCAACUCUGCCCUGCUCAUUUUGAAGUGUCAAGAAAUGAUGAGCCAGAGCAACCAAUCAGCAUCACUGCAAUUGUUCUACCCACCACCCACACUGCUCUCCCUUGACAAGCAACCACAUCCUCUUCUCCUGUUCAACUAAUUUGCCGCCACACUGAGAAGGACUGUACAUACAUACCUCUGUGCCCAUCUCAUUGCAACAUGAUCCAUCCAAGGCCAAAGCUGGACGCUUAAAAUGUGAGAAAUGUAAACAAGAUGCUACAGUAGUGUGUCUGUCUGUAUGUGUGUAUGGAUGGAGUUCCAAGAAAAUACAUGAGAAGAUGUCAAAGGAGAUAGUAAUGAGAGUGGGAGCAUACAGUAUGAAAAUAAAGACCCCUUGGGAUCUAAAA